UGGGGAAUAUUGCACAAUGGGCGCAAGCCUGAUGCAGCGACGCCGCGUGAGGGAUGGAGGCCUUCGGGUUGUAAACCUCUUUCGCCAGUGAAGCAGGCCAUCUUCUUUGUGGGGUGGUUGACGGUAGCUGGAUAAGAAGCGCCGGCUAACUACGUGCCAGCAGCCGCGGUAAUACGUAGGGCGCGAGCGUUGUCCGGAAUUAUUGGGCGUAAAGAGCUCGUAGGCGGCUGGUCGCGUCUGUCGUUAAAUCCCCUGGCUUAACUGGGGGCUUGCGGUGGGUACGGGCCGGCUUGAGUGCGGUAGGGGAGACUGGAAUUCCUGGUGUAGCGGUGGAAUGCGCAGAUAUCAGGAGGAACACCGGUGGCGAAGGCGGGUCUCUGGGCCGUUACUGACGCUGAGGAGCGAAAGCGUGGGGAGCGAACAGG
rnacentral:rRNA from 1 species